rnacentral:rRNA from 1 species
GUAGUCUCGCACAGAUGCAUAUCAAUAAGCGGAGGAAAAGAAACUAACAAGGAUUCCCCUAGUAACGGCGAGUGAAGCGGGAAGAGCUCAAAUUUGAAAUCUUAAAGGGUUUCCCUUUACGAAUUGUAGUUUAAAGAAGUGUUUUCUGUUGAGGUUUUGGUAAAAGUUCUUUGGAAUAGGACAUCAUAGAGGGUGAGAAUCCCGUAUUUGACCUUUACUUUCAACUUUGUGAUACACUUUCAAAAGAGUCGGAUUGUUUGGGAAUGCAGUCCAAAAUGGGUGGUAAAUUUCAUCUAAAGCUAAAUAUUGGCGAGAGACCGAUAGCGAACAAGUACCGUGAGGGAAAGAUGAAAAGAACUUUGAAAAGAGAGUUAAACAGUACGUGAAAUUGUCAAAAGGGAAGCGUUUGACACCAGUGUUGUUUUUCUGAAAAUCAAUUAAAGAACUGUUUAUGCUAAGUUGUUUAGACUUUAUCAGCUAACUGUUUAGUUUUGAGCUUUUCUUUAAUGCACUUUUCAGUUAACAAGUCAACAUCAAUUUCUUUUGCUGUAAAAGAGCUUGAGGAAGGUGGCUUGAGAUUCGUCUUAAGUGUUUAUAGCCUCUUGCCUAUGCAGUCGGAGAGAUUGAGGUCUGCAGCGUAGAUCCUUCGGGGCUAAAUGCAUUUGUGCUAAGUUAUAGCAUUUCAUAGACAACUUGUUGACUAUGAUUUGUCUUGUAGCUUACUCGCUUAUGUUAUUUUACCUACGCUUAGGAUGUUGAUCUGUAGUGCGUGCGC